rnacentral:lncRNA from 1 species
AGCUAUUGUUGCCUCUGAUGAAGUUUUGUCCACUAGUUGUUUCUGAGAUCUUUUAAAAUGAUUUGCAAAUUUAUAGCUAAAAUUAGUUCUGACCUGGCUUUUCUAUCUGUGUCGUCCCAUGCAGCUGCGGCAUUCAUGGAGGCUUCAUCCGUUUCAACAGGUCUCACUUUUGUUCCAUUCACAUAAUUCCAUGAAUCAUUUUUUAUUAGAACAGCUUCCAUUUGUAAUUUCUACGUGUCAAAAUUGUCCUUUCCCAAUGUUUCUAUUCAGAUUGUUUGUCCACUCAUCUUGUAUUUGUACUUUAUUCACGCACUUUGGAUGGAGACAAAAACA